UUCCCUUGAUGUUGCGGCAGAGUCUGU
rnacentral:piRNA from 2 species